rnacentral:lncRNA from 9 species
GUUGGGACAAACCCUAAAGAAAAUAUGGCGUUUAAUCUAAGAGUUAUCUGCAGAGAUGUGCAAAGCAUUUUAGCGGAGGUCUGGCACACCUAAUUAAAACUGAUUAGAUUGCAAUUACUCAACAGUGUGGAAAGAGAGAGGGGAUAUUGCAGCCAAUGUUUCAAAAAAUAUCAUCAAACUUUCAAGACAUUAGCAUGCUGGUGUUGGGUAUGAUAUUUAUACAGUGGGCAUUGACGAGAGGAUCAAAUUGCCUUUUUAUGUAAGAAAUUGGAUAAAGAGCAGGAAUCAAGUAAAUCCAAAGUGCAAUUUUCUCAUGAACAUGAAUUGAUGGGACGUGCUCGGGUCAAAGAUAAUAUGUGUCAUUAUACAGCGGAGGCAGGAAUCUGACAUGUCUUUGGCCUUGAUAUAAAAUUUAAAGUGACAUGCUUUUAUUUUCCACUGGGGCAGCUGUUACAAUUCUCCGACGAGAACUGGCCCCAGCUGGCACGUUUGAAAUGGAAAUACAUGCGGGUAAUAACCAUAGACUACAGUCUACUGCUGGCGAACCGGGAAUCAAAUUAGGGAAUGCAGCCGUUACCCCUGGUCAGGGCCAGUUCAUAGCAUCGCAGGGCUGGUGGAAAAGUCUGAGACCUUUUGGGUAUCCGAGUCCUGGGAUAGAAAUGCACUGCUGCAGACUGCCGGUCAUUUUCCAAGGAAGACUUUCACAGGUGCUUCUUCUGUUUCUGGAGGUGCCAUCUGCAGGGUUUCCUGGGAAGGCCUGCUGGGUGCUUCCUCUUCCCUGUGCACAGCUGAUGAGAUCAUUUCAAAACCGGUAAUUUGUGUAAGACAGACAAUUGCUGAAAAAGAAAACACUAAAUUUGAAAAGCCCCGCCAUGUGCACCUUGAUGGGAGGCUUUUAUCACGGCGUUUUAGCAUCUCUGGAUUGAGACCAAGGGAGAAAGAGCUCCGGCCACACUGUUGCAUGUUUAGCUUGAAGGGGUGUGCUCCAGGAGAAAAUAAAAUAGAACCUCGACAUACACUUGUUUUGCGUCAGUAUGUUUCUUAUACUUUGGGGAACAAGCCAACUGUAGAAUAAGGGUCACUUGAUACCUCAAUGCCUGUAAGAGAUUGUCUUAAAAUAGACACACAGCUCUAAGCAGACCAGUGGUUACCGUUCAGUCAUCUCAUGGCCGGUGUAUCAGGAUGAACUGUGUGUAUGUACACAGGUGUACAUUUCCUGUCUCUACCCCAUCAUCAGUCCACACACCUGACAGCUAAAUGUGUCCCAUAACCGUUUUCCAGGAAACGGAAGGAGGCUCCUUGGAUAAACGGCAGAUUCCAGGGCUGAUGCAGGAAAAUUACCAGAUGCUCUUAGAUAACCUGCUACCAAAACAUUUAAAACUGCUCAAGG